UACAGAGGUCUCAACCGUUGUUCGGAUUCAUUGGGCGUAAAGGGUGCGUAGGCGGUCGCGUAAGUCAGGUGUGAAAUCCCGGGGCUCAACCCCGGAACUGCACUUGAUACUGCGUGGCUAGGGUACUGGAGAGGAGACUGGAAUUUACGGUGUAGCAGUGAAAUGCGUAGAUAUCGUAAGGAAGACCAGUGGCGAAGGCGAGUCUCUGGACAGUUACCGACGCUGAGGCACGAAGGCCAGGGGAGCAAGCGGG
rnacentral:rRNA from 1 species